UUUAUCAAAAACAUCGCCUCUUGCAAAACUUACGAAUAAGAGGUCACGCCUGCCCGGUGACUUUUAUGUUUAACGGCCGCGGUAUUUUGACCGUGCAAAGGUAGCGCAAUCACUUGUCUUUUAAAUGGAGACCUGUAUGAAUGGCAUCACGAGGGCUUAACUGUCUCCUUUCUCUAGCCAAUGAAAUUGAUCUCCCCGUGCAGAAGCGGGGAUAAGCACAUAAGACGAGAAGACCCUAUGGAGCUUUAGACACCAAGACAGUUUACGUUAAGCAUCCCUGCACAAAAGACCAAACUAAAUGAGUCCUGUCCUAAUGUCUUUGGUUGGGGCGACCUUGGGGAAAUAAACAACCCCCAUGUGGAACGGAAGCAUGUUUCCAGAACUAAGAGCUCCCGCUCUAAGAACCAGAAUUUCUGACCGAUCAGAUCCGGCAAGACCGAUCAACGGACCGAGUUACCCUAGGGAUAACAGCGCAAUCCCCUUUUAGAGUCCAUAUCGACAAGGGGUUUACGACCUCGAUGUUGGAUCAGGACAUCCUAAUGGUGCAGCCGCUAUUAAGGGUUCGUUUGUUCAACGAUUAAAGUCCUACGUGAUCUGAGUUCA
rnacentral:rRNA from 1 species